rnacentral:lncRNA from 1 species
CAGACAAGUAUGCUGGACCAAACAAUGUUCUUCCUUUGUUAUGGUUGUUGGUGGUUGACUCAUGAAAAUUUGAGGUGCAUAGCCUAUGGUUAUAACUAACUUGUGUGACAACUUCAUUCUGUCAUAAAGUUCCUUGAGAAUAGAAAUCCUCUUUCUUUGUUCAGAGAAGAACACUCAGAACUUCUGAUAUUCCAAUGAUUCACAGGUCUUUUUGCAUUGUAUUUAUGUGUCAAACACAUGUCCUGAGCUCACAGGAUAUAGGGACAGAAAUGCAAUAUUGGCUUCAUCACCAGUCCAAAUUUGGGCAUUGCCAACACGUGUGACUGUCUGGAGAUAGGAGAGUGAGAAGCUGGUGGGAUUAUUAGGGUGACCUGUCCAGUGAGCAGAUGACCUCAGCAGAGCAUCACAAGUACUACCAUGUGUCCUGCAACAACUCCUACAGUUCUUCACAGAUGGAGAUGGCAGGGCAUGAGGAUGGCCAUGAGGAUGUCCAGUGUCCAAAGGAGUCAGUUUGUAAACACGAUCAAAUGUCCUCAAAGCACAGGCCUGGCACAAGCGGCGAUCCCAGAGCCCAGGUUUCUGUCCUCACCCUCUUCUGAUUGGCUACAGCUUCGAAUCAAAUGGAAGAUGAACGUGAGAACUUACAUAUCACUCUUGCUGAUCUCCACCAUUGUUAAGAUGACACCAUGAAAAAAAGAAAAAGAAAAUCAACAACCCUUCUCCAAGAAGGAGCUCUUAAUUAC